AAAUAAAAUAUGCGGCCCAAUUUUAAAAAAAAGCAAAACAGGUUUAAUCGAAGCGCGCUGCAAAAAGGAGGGACCAAUUGCGCAAAUUCACCCUUUAAUGCCAGAACGCGCGGAUCCUUCCCUCCGGGUCGGGUCACCGCGCGGGUCAUGGCCUUCCAAACGGCGCCGUUUUGUCCUUCUAUUUAAAAGAAAAUUCUUUUUUUUUUAAAAAACAUAAAUCAGCAACCCCAUUAAAAAACAAAAAAAAAACAAAGAGCAAACGCUCUGUUAGGGUUCUUGAACCCAUUUUCUUUUGGGCCGCCGCCGCAACUCGCGUCCGCCGCGAUUUCACCGAGAACGGUGAUCGGAUAAGCGAUACGAUGGGCUCUGAAGGUAAGUUUCUGUCCUUUGUUUUUAAUAAAAGAAAAAAAUAGAUAAAUAAAAUAAAAUAGGCUGAGAAAUAAAAC
rnacentral:lncRNA from 1 species